AGAAUCAACGCUGGCGGCGUGCCUAACACAUGCAAGUCGAACGAGAAAGUGGAGCAAUCCAUGAGUAAAGUGGCGCACGGGUGAGUAACACGUGACUAACCUACCCUCGAGUGGGGAAUAACCUGGGGAAACCCGGGCUAAUACUGCAUAAUACCCACGGGUCAAAGGAGCAAUUCGCUUGAGGAGGGGGUCGCGGCAGAUUAGUUAGUUGGCGGGGUAAUGGCCCACCAAGACGAUGAUCUGUA
rnacentral:rRNA from 1 species